rnacentral:tRNA from 2 species
GCGGAGGUGCCGGAGCGGUCAAACGGGACAGGCUUAGGACCUGUUGGCUUAGUGCCUACAAGAGUUCGAAUCUUUUCCUCCGCA